UGCGGUUUCUUUUUUAUGUGUGUCAUCGUUGUAGAUUCAUGGAUAUGAAAUAAUCUUUCUUUUAUAUAAUUUCAUACCCAGAGUUGAAUGAUAAAUCAGAUAUGUGUCAGACUGGCCCGAACUCCCUGAGUCACAGUUCAAAGAAUCUCUUAACAGUCUGCGGUAGCUGAAAACCACAAGAUGGUGAUUACUUUAACACAUCCAAGGUAAUAGUAUUUUGGGACUGUGUCCGAAUUCAAUCAUCAUAAU
rnacentral:lncRNA from 1 species